UUUAACUCAAAUGGUCGGAUAACAGACACUGUCCUAGAAUCAUGACACCGCAUCAGUUCACCAUCAGACCAUGAAGAUGGCAUAAAAGUGGUACAACAUGUUUCUCAGCACGGAAUACACAGUACCGAACCCGAUCACAGCUUCAUCCUAUAAAGUGACAAGAUAGUGCUCAAAUGGAGAUCUAUAUCUUCAAUGCAAUUCCCUUUCCCUACUUCCCAUUCAACUAACCAGCGAGGACAGAAGUGAAGAAAUCCAUGACUGGGAAUCGGAUCGCACCUCCCAAUAAUGCAAGCUUAUGAGGACUUGUGGAAUUCCAUGACCAUUUGAAAGCUGUAAAUUUUGAGUGGAGAGGUCAAGCUGAGAAACAUCCCACAACGCUGUGAUAUGGAGUGGCUGAAGGAGAUAACGCCGGUGCAUUUAAGGCAAGGCUUGAUGUAUGAACGAGGGAGAAGAGGAGAGAGGAAUAUUGGGGGCAGCAUGAAAGCAGGGGGCUUCCAAGAUCCCGAGAACACAGAUGACAGGAUUUGAAACCCAAGUGUGGAUUUCCUUUGUUGGCGGUGGCCUGUCAUCAGUCACAUUCCGCAUGUAGGUUAAUAAGGCUUUAAAAUAAAAGGACAGCCAUGGUUUGACUGACAGUCUGGCAAAGCGAGCAAAGCGAGCUUCUUUGUCAUCCAUCGUUUCUUCAAUGAACGCAAGCAAUGAGUGUCAACAGAUUUGCUGAAUGCCUUGAGUUCAUUAUGACAAGUAGUCAGUCUCUGGAAUAUUUCCACUUAUUAAUAGGACAGUAC